rnacentral:rRNA from 2 species
UAACAAGGAUGCCCCUAGUAACUGCGAGUGAAGCGGGAAGAGCUCAAAUUUAAAAUCUGGCAGUUCUGGAAACUGUCCGAGUUGUAAUUUAGAGAAGUGUUUUCUGUGCCAGACUGUGUACAAGUCUCCUGGAAUGGAGCGUCAUAGAGGGUGAGAAUCCCGUCUUUGACACAGAACCCUGGUGCUAUGUGAUACACUCUCGAAGAGUCGAGUUGUUUGGGAAUGCAGCUCAAAAUGGGUGGUGAACUCCAUCUAAAGCUAAAUAUUGGCGAGAGACCGAUAGCGAACAAGUACCGUGAGGGAAAGAUGAAAAGCACUUUGGAAAGAGAGUGAAACAGUACGUGAAAUUGCUGAAAGGGAAACGCUUGAAGUCAGUCACAUCUGCUAGAACUCAGCCAUCUUAGGUGUAUUUUCUAGUUGGAUGGGCCAGCAUCAUUUUUGGCUGCUGGAAAAGGGCGGAAGGAAUGUGGCACCUUUAGGUGUGUUAUAGCCUUCUGUCAUAUACAGUUGCUGGGAGUGAGGAUUGCCUUUGUAGGAUGCUGGCAUAAUGGCUUUAAACGACCCGUCUUGAAACACGGACCAAGGAAUCUAACAUGCAUGCAAGUGUUUGGGUGUAAAACCCAUGCGCGCAAUGAAAGUGAAAAUUGGGAAGGCCUAGCCUGCACCGAUGCCCGGACUUGAGAUUUAUCGACAGUUCUGCGGUAGAGCAUGUAUGUUAGGACCCGAAAGAUGGUGAACUAUGCCUGAAUAGGGUGAAGCCAGAGGAAACUCUGGUGGAGGCUCGUAGCGAUUCUGACGUGCAAAUCGAUCGUCAAAUUUGGG